AGUGGCGAACGGGUGAGUAACACGUAGGUAACUUACCUCUAAGACGAGGAUAACGACUGGAAACGGUCGCUAAAACUGGAUAGGAUAACGAGAGGCAUCUCUUGUUAUUUAAAAGGGCUUUACAGCCAUGCUUAGAGAAAGGCCUGCGGCGCAUUAGCUAGUUGGUGAGGUAGAGGCUCACCAAGGCGAUGAUGCGUAGCCGGACUGAGAGGUCGAACGGCCACAUUGGGACUGAGACACGGCCCAAACUCCUACGGGAGGCAGCAGUAGGGAAUUUUCGGCAAUGGGGGAAACCCUGACCGAGCAACGCCGCGUGAAUGAAGAAGUAUUUCGGUAUGUAAAGUUCUUUUAUUGAGGAAGAAUGGGUUGGGAAGGAAAUGACCUAACCGUGACGGUACUCAAUGAAUAAGCCCCGGCUAACUAUGUGCCAGCAGCCGCGGUAAUACAUAGGGGGCAAGCGUUAUCCGGAAUUAUUGGGCGUAAAGGGUGCGUAGGCGGUUCGUUAAGUCUAAGGUGUAAGUUCAAGGCUCAACCUUGUGAUGCUUUAGAAACUGGCGAACUAGAGAUAGAUAGAGGCAAGUGGAAUUCCAUGUGUAGCGGUAAAAUGCGUAAAUAUAUGGAGGAACACCAGUGGCGAAGGCGGCUUGCUGGGUCUAUACUGACGCUGAGGCGCGAAAGCGUGGGGAGCAAACAGGAUUAGAUACCCUGGUAGUCCACACC
rnacentral:rRNA from 1 species